GACGAACGCUGGCGGCGUGCUUAACACAUGCAAGUCGAACGAAGUGGCGAACGGGUGAGUAACGCGUAAUCAACCUGCUCUUCAGAGGGGGACAACAGUUGGAACCGACUGCUAAUACCGCAUACUGAUGGGGGGGAUUGCGUGUGAUUGGCUAGUUGGAGGGGUAACGGCCAACCAAGGCGAUGGUCAGGAGGCGGUCUGAGGGGAUGAACGGCCACAUUGGGAAUGGGACACGGCCCAGACUCCUACGGGAGGCAGCAGUGGGGAAUCUUCCGCAAUGGACGAAAGUCUGACGGAGCAACGCCGCGUGAGUGAUGACGGCCUUCGGGGUGUAAAGCUCUGUUAAGCGGGACGCGGUACCGGAAUAGAAAGCCACGGCUAACUACGUGCCAGCAGCCGCGGUAAUAC
rnacentral:rRNA from 1 species